rnacentral:tRNA from 2 species
GAGGUUGUAGCUCAGUGGUAGAGCGCUUGCCUCACAUAUAUGAGACACUGGGUUCAAUCCUCAGCACCACA